CAGCAGCCGCGGUAAUACGUAGGUGGCGAGCGUUGUCCGGAAUUAUUGGGCGUAAAGGGAGCGCAGGCGGACAUAUAAGUCCAUCUUAAAAGUGCGGGGCUCAACCCCGUGAGGGGAUGGAAACUGUAUGCCUUGAGUGCAGGAGAGGAAAGCGGAAUUCCCAGUGUAGCGGUGAAAUGCGUAGAUAUUGGGAGGAACACCAGUGGCGAAGGCGGCUUUCUGGACUGCAACUGACGCUGAGGCUCGAAAGCCAGGGGAGCGAACGGGAUUAGAGACCCGAGUAGUCCCUGUCUCUUAUACA
rnacentral:rRNA from 1 species